rnacentral:rRNA from 1 species
GAUCCAGCCAUGCCGCGUGAGUGAAGAAGGCCUUCGGGUUGUAAAGCUCUUUCGGCCGGGAAGAAAUCGUACGGGUUAAUACCCUGUGCGGAUGACGGUACCGGCAUAAGAAGCACCGGCUAACUACGUGCCAGCAGCCGNGGUAAUACGUAGGGUGCGAGCGUUAAUCGGAAUUACUGGGCGUAAAGCGUGCGCAGGCGGUUUUUUAAGAUAGGCGUGAAAUCCCGGGGCUCAACCUGGGAACUGCGCUUAUGACUGGAAGACUAGAGUAUGGCAGAGGGGGGUGGAACUCCACGUGUAGCAGUGANAUGCGUAGAGAUGUGGAGGAACACCGCUGGCCAAGGCAGCCCCCUGGGCCAAUACUGACGCUCAUGCACGAAAGCGUGGGGAGCAAACAGGAUUAGAUACCCUGGUAGUCCACGC